AUACGGAGGGUGCAAGCGUUGUUCGGAAUUACUGGGCGUAAAGCGCGCGUAGGUGGUCUGUUAUGUCAGAUGUGAAAGUCCACGGCUCAACCGUGGAAGUGCAUUUGAAACUGGCAGACUUGAGUACUGGAGGGGGUAGUGGAAUUCCCGGUGUAGAGGUGAAAUUCGUAGAUAUCGGGAGGAAUACCGGUGGCGAAGGCGACUACCUGGCCAGAUACUGACACUGAGGUGCGAAAGCGUGGGGAGCAAACAGGAUUAGAAACCCGGGUAGUCC
rnacentral:rRNA from 1 species